UAUUGGUCCACGAUGACAGAGUGGAAGUUGAAAACAAAAACAAAACAUCCUGUCCUUGAUCACAAAUGGUUUGCGAAGCAUUGCCUGUGGCCCCUUUCUUCAACUCUGAAAUGGAGACUUCCUUUGGUGGCUGCCCCAAGGACUGUGAUCCUGUGCAGUUCUCCUAUGGGGCAGGAGGGGGCGACAGAGACACAGAUAAUCCAUCCUUUGAACAAGACCAAUUUGUUUAUUCUCUAGAUAUCCUCUUUUUGGCAUCUCCUGGGUGCUGGAGGGAAACCUUGGUGGCGUAGUGGUUAAGUGCUACAGCUGCUAACCAAAAGGUCGGCAGUUCGAAUCUGCCAGGCGCUCCUUGGAAACCCUACAGGGCAGUUCUACUCUGUCCUAUAGGGUUGCUAUGAGUCGGAAUCGACUCGACGGCAGUGGGUUUGGUUUUUUUUUUUGGUUUUGGGUGCUGGAGGGAAACCCUGGUGGCGUAGUGGUUAAGAGUUCGGCUGCUAAUCAAAAGGUCGGCAGUUCCAAUCCACCAGGCACUGCUUGGAAACCCUACAGGGCAGUUCUACUCUGUCCGGUAGGGCCACUAUAAGUCAGAAUCCACUCAAAGACGACAGUUUUUUUUUUUGGUGGGGUGGGUGCUGGAGACAAAGAUGGCUUUCUCCUUCCUUCUUCCUUCAGCUGACAGCAGAGUCACCAGGGAGAACUACUGGGAGGUCAUCCCCACGGAGAUGGCAGGAACCAGCAGGACCCCUGCAGGGGCUUUAUUCAUGAGGCAGUGAAACUAUGAGCAGCCUGGGUACAUAGCAGAGUGUUCCAGUCAGGCUGCGUGGGUUUGAAUCCUGAUGUCACCUCUUAGUUGCUGUGAGACCUUGGGAAAGUCACUUAAUCUCUCAGAAGCCCAGUUUCCUCAAGUGUAAAGAGGGCAAAUUUUACCCCACAGGGCUAUUGGGGGAUUACAUAAGAUUGUCCAUAUAAAGCCCUAGUACUGUGCCUGGCCUAUAGAGACUCAAUAAAUGCUAACAUUCAUUAUCAUCGCAGCCCCACCAUGCCUUGUAUUCUCUCAGUUCCUGUGAGGCUGGGAAACGCCACCCUUUCCAGAAGGGCAAACCCUUCCCACCAGUCAUGCUGACAGCUGACUCCGUCCAAAUGACCAAGUUCAUUGACUCAGGAAGUUUGCUGAGAAGGACCCAAGCCCCAGGAGUCUUCCCAUUGUAGCCUCAUUUUUCUAAGUACUGAUUUUUCUCAUUUCUUCAUCCUUUACAUGUCCCAGCCCUGUACACACUCUGCAUUUCAGAGUUUACAAGGCACUGUCCUGUCCAUCUUGGCACCAGAAGGCACUGUGGUAUGGUAGUUAGAGCCUGGCACGUGGAGCUGGGCUGCCUGGGUUGGAAUCCUGGCUCUACAUUUUGCCAGCUGCGUGACGUUGAGCAGGUUGCUUAAGUCCUCUGAGCCUCAGUUUCCCUAUCUUAAGCUGGUAGCCAUCUCUUGUAUUACUGUGAUAAUUGAGUCAGGUAAUGCAGGUGAAGGCCAGGUGACUACACCAGGUAAGCACCCGAUAAACAUCAGAAGAUGAGGAAACUGAGGCUCAGGAAGGCAAGGAGCUCAAUUAUUGGGUAGCCUUGCUGGGCCCUAGACGUCCACCAUCUCAUCUUCUUAGCAGAGAAGGAGGCACUUGGCCUCCAUUUUGCAGACCAGGGACUUGAGACUCAGUUUACCCAAGUCUGCAGGACUAUGAAGAAGUGGAGUUGGGUGUUGACCUCCAGUGUCUGAUACAAAAUCCAGAGUUCCUCUUGCUUGUUUCGUGAAAGGAGUGUGGGAUGAUGUGAGUUUUAAGGCCCCUUUGGGCACAAACCAAGGAAUAAACGUUCUUGCCCCUCCCUUUUAUUAUUUGCUUCCUGGAAAAGCCCAGAAGGGCUUUCAAGAGGACAGGGGAGUUAGUGAGAGAGUGGGGCUCUCAUCCGGGGAACGUCCAGAGUCCCCGGUAAUGGGGAGAUCUCUUGCGUUUUAAUGGGGAAGCACAAACGAUCUUGUCGACCGAGUGGGAGUGAGCAGCAGGGGGCGCUGUGACAUCAGCCAAGAGACGCGCUUUCCCAGGGACACAGGCCCAGGACUCUGGCUUCUGAGCAAAGCUCAGCCUGGGUUAGGCCAGCCUGGCCAAAAGCCCACCCGUCCACCCAGGGAAAUUUUACCUGAGAGCGGAGAGCCCUGAGGGGUCUCCAGAAAUCAGGGUCAGUACGGGACCUAUGAACCCUGGCUUUGGAGUCAGUGGAUUUGGAUUUGAAACCCUGCUCUGCUUUAUCUGACUAUGUGACCCUGGGCAAGUCACUUAACCUCUUGGAGCCUCAGUGGCCUCCUCAAAAAAAAUUAUCAUCACUCUCAGGGCUCUUAUGAGAGUCAAUGCAUGUAGGUUUCUCAGCAGAGCGCCUGGUAUGUACUGAGCACUCAAUGAAGGGCAGCAGUUAUUGUCAUUAAGAGAUGAGAUUGGCAGGCCAGCCCUAAGGAAGUGAGCCCCCUGCCCUCCAGGGUCCGGAGCCCUCCUGCUCCUCUGAGCCCCACCAGGACCCCUCGAUGGGUGUCUUAACUUGUCUUUACUUCCUAGUACUGCUAUAAUGAUAACACCACUAGGGGGUGGCUUUAACAAACAGGAAUUGAUUUUCUCACAGUUUAGGAGGCCAGGAGUCUGAAUUCAGGGCCUUUCUCUGUCUCUCAGCUCUGGGGAAGGUCCUCGUUUCCUCUGAGCUUCUGCUCCUGGUGAUCUUCCUGUGGUCUGGCACCUCUCUUCGUCCAUCUCUGCUUGCUUGCUUGUUUAAUCACUUAUAUAUCUCAGAAGAGAUUGACUUAAAACACGCCCUACACUAAUACUAUCUCAAUAACAUAACAAAGAAAACCCAUUUCCAACCGGGAUUAUAACCACAGGUAGAGGGGUUAGGAUUUACAACACAUAUUUUGGGGGGACGCAAUUCAAUCCAUAACAAUGGGGUUCACCUUCCAGCUCAUUGGCCUAUCUGUGGCUCUUUUUUCUGCCCAAGCAAAUCUGCCUGACCUAUGCCCGGGCCCCCAGGGCCCUGCUUAUUUCCAGAUCCCACUGCUUGCUGAGGUUGGGGGAAGCCAGCCCAGUGCCUUGUGUGCUAUAACCUCGCUGAGGCCUGUGUAGCCUGGAAUAUAGGCCUUGUCCUCUCUGGGCCUCGAUUUCUCCAUUUGCAGUGGGGGGGGGGGGGUGGGAGGUGGGAGGCUGCAGGAGAUAAGCAACAAGUUCCCUGUCACUCGGCCUACCAUCAGCAAUCUAGGGAUUUGUCCCCAUACUGGAGACACACAUUUUUCAGGGCCCUCCACUGCCUAAAACCAAAGUGAGGCCUGAUGUACGAGCAGGUGUGCUCCCACUUAAGGCCUGUGGAAGACACCAUUCGGGCUGGCUUCUUUCACCAAAGAGGAGACGUUGGCCUUCCUCGCUGUCCAGCUUGCCCCUCCUGUGUCCCUCUACCUGUGUAGUGCCCCCAAGAUUUCUUAGUCCCCAGGGUUCAGGCUCCCCAUAUUCUUUCCAAUCCCCCAGCCUGGUCUAUGCUUAGAAAAGGGCUUGAUAGAGUAGUUUUCCCUAAGGUAUGAAUGACUGGUGAAGUCCCUGGUUAGUCCAAACAGUUAGUUAGCAUACUUGGCUGCUACCUGAAAGGCUAGAGGUUCCAGUCCACCCAGAGGGGUCUUGGAAGAAAGGCCUGGCAAGCUGUUUCUAAAAAAUCAGCCACUGAAAGCCCUAUGGAUCACAGUUCUACUCUAACACACAUGUGGUUGUCAUGAGUCAGAGUUGACUAAAGUUUUUUUAAUGAAUGAAUGAUAAGGCUGAUGCUGCCCCUUCUGAAGGAAUUUGAACUUAAACAGGGAUAGAGCUUUUAUCCAGAUAAAUUCAACUCUAUUUAUGGAAUUCCCACAAAGGCUUUGAAAUUGGAAGGCUCUUGUCUCCAUUCAAAUCACAGAAGCCUCCAUUCCCUGGCCUAGCCCAGGGAGGAAAUGAACAACUGGUUCAAAAGCCCAUGGAACCCAAGCACCCAAAGAAAAAAUAGUUACAUUGGAUUUCAUCAAAAUUAAAAAUUUUCAUGCCUCGAAGGACACCAUCAACAAAGUGAAAAAGCAACUGACAGAAUGGGAGAAAAUACUUGCAGAUCAUAUAUUUGAUAAGUCACAAGUCCUAAAUAUAUAAAGAACUCUUACAAUUCAACAAUAAAAAGACAAAUAUCCCAAUUAAAUGAUGGGCAAAGACACUUCUCCAAAGAAGAUAUACAAAUGGCCAAUAAGCACAUAAAAAUAUACUCAACAUCACUGGUAGUUGUUGGGUGCCAUUGAGUGAUUUUGACUCAUAGGGACCCUAUAAGACGGAGUAGAUAAUCUUUUUUCAGAGUAGAUUGCCAAGUCUUUCUCUCUUGGAGCCACUGGGUAGGUUCAAACCACCAACCUUUCGUUAGUAGCUGAGCGCUUACCCACUGUGCCACCAGGGCGCUUUCAAUAAUCAUUAGGGAAAUGCAAACCAAACCACAAUGAGAUAUCACUUCACACCUGCUGAGAUGGCCACAAUAAAAAAAAACAAUAACAAGUGAUGGCGUGGCUGUAGAGAAACCCUCAUACUUUGCUGGUGGGAUUGUAAAAUAGUUCAGCCACUUUGGAAAAUGGCCUGGUGAUUCCUCAAAAAUUUAAACAUAGAGUUACCAUAGGAUCCAGCAAUGCCAUUCCUAGGUAUAUACCCAAGAGAAUUAAAAACAGAUGUCCACACAAAAACAUGUACACAAAUGAUCAUUAACCCUAAUAGCCACAAAGUGGAUAACACAAAUGUCCAUCAACUGAUGAGUGGAUAAACGGAUGAUGGUAUACUCAUCUAAUGGAAUAUUAUUCAGUCAUAAAAAGGAAUCAAGUAUUGGUUCAUCACUACAACAUAGAUGAACCUUGAAAACAUUGCUAAGUCAAAGAAGCCAGACAUAAAAGGCCAUGUAUCCAUUUAUAUGGAACGUCCAGAACAGGUAAACGCAUAGAGACAGAAAGUAGGUUAGUGGUUGCAGGGGCUGGGGUGGGGGGACUGGAGAGUGACUACUAAUGAGUAUGGGCUUUCUUUUGGGGGUCAUGAAGAUGUUCUAAAAUUAGAUAGUGGUGAUGGUUGCAGAACUGUGUGAAUAUAAUAAAAACCACUCAAUUGUAACAUUUUAAAGGGACGAGUUUUUAUGGUAUGUGAAUGAUAGCUCAAAUUUUUAACCCUUUGGUGACUCAAUUAUUUUCUGCUUUGAAUUUUUUGUUGAUACCACGUGUUUUUGUUAAUGGAAGCAUGCCGAAUCACUGAGUGCUUCUGCAUUUUUGCUAUGUGGAAUGGAUUUUUUCCUUGUCCGCCUCCCACAAGCCUAUCCUAAGUGUUCAGUGGUGUGUAUGAAGUACUAAUUAUACACCAGAGUCCCCACCAGAAUCUAUCGGUUCAUAUGUAUAACAAAUAAAAAUUGUCAGAAUAUCUAUUUUCCCUACCCAAAAUUCAGACACCUCAUAGAGUACCCUGUAAAAACAGUAAUUUGUGGUACACGCUUGUUCCUUGGGUUUCAAACAGUUAUAAGGGUCCCUGCUUGGUGGCAGCAGGUACUAUCAGUGAUGCAGCAGCUUCACCAAUGAACCCCAGAGAUGAACUUAGGUACCACCGGGCACGAAAGGGUUUUAAAAAAGCCCAGGGAAAGAAUGGUGGGGUCCUUGAAAACUUCGAUGGGUAAUAAAAACCCCCGCUCCUACGCCCCAUCCCCACCCACCUAAGUUUAUGUGGUGACCAUGGGCUCCAGAGCAGUUUUCUCCAUGAAGGGGGUCAUACCCCCAGGUGCCGUGUAAAACUAUGGAGGGUAUUUCCGGUUGUUGCUCCGUUGAGAUGGGCGCUUGCGAGGAGCCAGAAAUGUUAGACGCAUGGCACCAUCUCACCAUGAAGAACUGUCUUUCAUUCCAUGCGGCUUUCUGACUUCUCAGGACAUAGAUGUAGAUGAUUAUCUGAGCUAAAAAUGUAACUCCACUUUAAGUAAUGAACACCAAGGAUAUUUGCAAGGUUUGCACGUACCUGCAUGUUCUAGCAAUACACCUACCACGAAAACGGGGAAGAUGGCUCGCACCUCUGGCUCGAUGUCAGCAGUCUAUUCCUGAAAAGGAGAUGUUCUCUGUGAAGACACUUCCGGAGCCAUAUUGCCUUUUAUUUAUUGCAUUCCCAUUGUUUUUAAAGGGGAAAAUUUAUACUGUUACUUUUCAACUCCAAAUUCCUUAACCAAUUUCCUAAACUCUACUAAAAUACAGUAAAAUGUUCAUGUAGGUAACAAUGAUCGUGUUAGAUUGUAAGAUGCUUAAAGCUUUGGUUCCUGGUCACCAAACAAUGUGAACUCUAACAAGCAGUUGCUCUGUGCACGGUCAUCUGGCCUCUCUGAGUGCCAGCAGCAGCCAAGAGGCACAGUUUUUUCAAAAUGCCUAUAACUUGAUUCUGGCACCUUACUAAUUGUAUUGGGAAUGUUCUUUUCCUGUACAUUGUUUUGUUGAAAUAUGUUAUAUUGAAUUUUGGACACAUGAACAUACUUUUUCCUCCUAUGUAAAUACCAGCCAAGAAGUAUCGUACUGAGCUCUCUCAAUACACGUGUUCUCUGCGGCAGGAUGGUAACCAGGGGGCAUUCUGCAGGGACGUCUGAACUCUGGUUUGUUUGAGCACAGCAGAAAGCACUGUCCUCUGGCCAGAGCUCUGAGGACCUUAGGGAAUGUCUCAUCCUUCCUAAGUUUACUGGGAAGACACAAAGAGGCUUGGGGACUUGUCCAGGGUCACCCAGUGCUGUGUCAGAAUUGGGCUGGGAGCCAGCAUUCACUGGCACCUGGAUGGUGACUCUGGGCUCCACACCAGGAUCUCAGGUGCUUGAAGUAGCCCAUGGAAAUCUGGGCCACCAGACAGGUUUGGUGAAUUGGCCACUUUUCUCUUGAGCAAAUCAACCUCUAAGCAAGUAACUAAUAUAUCAUGUUGACUCUGCCUUUGCAAAGGCAGGGUCCAGGUGUUCUUAGUGAACACAGCCAAGUGGCGAUUCACAGAACUCAACAUGGGGACCAACCCUGGUGUUGGAGCAAGGUCAAAUCAUGGGUGUGUGAGCUGGGCGGAGGCUGGGAGGUUGGGAAAAGCCAAGCCUGAGGUCACAGGGGAGCUCUAUCCUGGCGGCACUGCAGAUUCACCCUGAAGGGGGGUAUUUUAGCUUGGGUGCCCCCCAAAGCAGAGCUCAGGUCAAUGGCUUAUGUAGCAGGAGUUUUCUUUGAGAAUACGAUUCCCAGAACGGACUGUAGGACUAAUUGGCUCCAUAAACUUCCACCUGCAUUACCAUGAGACCAGAAGAAAUGGAUAGGGCCCAGCUACCAUUACCGAAUGUUUUGAUCAAGGACCCAAUAGAUGGAUUCUGAUCAAACAGAGGAAAAGUGUGGAACAGAACUUCAAACUCAUGUGGAAACCAGACUUACUGGAUCCACUGAAUGUGAGAAAACCUUCAAAUCUAAUGCCCAGAAAUAAUCUUUAAACCUUGAACUGAAACCAUCCCAUGAAGCUAAUGUUGUUAGCCAAAUUAAUAAAGAAUGUUUGCCUGAGCAUAGCCCUUUUGUAAAGAAUUAUCUCUAUAAGUGUAAACUGACAACAAUUAGUCUAAAGCACAGAUGAGAACUUUAAGGGGAGGAGAGCCUAAAUUAGUGGUGAUGAAUCAACAUGGGUAGAGAUAGUGUGGUGACAAUGUGAAGUAUGUCACCAACGUUAUUGAACUGUUCAUGUAGAAAUUAUGAAUGGGUGUAUGUUUGGUUGUAUAUAUUGCCACCAGAAAUAAAAUAAAAUAAAAUAAAAUAAAAUAAAAAAGAAUGUGAUUCCCAGGAAGCCUGAGUGAGGGAUGGUGGGUGGAACAGGGAAGGGGGUAACUGAUAUGAGGACGCAAGAUGGAGUUGUCUGCUCCGUUCCAUGGGACCUUCUGAGAAGCCUAUGGAAGGAGUCUCAGGACUGUCUGCUGGAGAAGAAGGGACCAGUUUUAUCCAUUCUCCUUUGAUCCAGGGUUUCCCUAUGCGGUUACCCCAUGUUGUAUAGGCGUGGGUACCAACUGGCUUCCUGGGUGCCCUUUCCUCUCAGUCAGGAAAGCCUCAGAGCAGGAUGAGAGAGGCUGUGGGUGUGGGAGGAGGAACCACCUUCACACACCGAGCAAAGCUUGUGUGGAACUGGCCACCGCAGGGCCAGCUGGGUUACGAAACGAGCUAAGAGGGUCUGAAAUUGUGUCAAGAGUUGAUUAAUACAAGUGGGCAGGAAGGGAUAUAAUAGAUGCCUUCAAUUCGAUUCCAACUCAUGGUGACCGCAUGUGUAUCAGAGUAGAAUUGUGCUCCACAGGGUUUUUCAGUGGCUGAUUUUUCAAUGGCCUUUCUUCCAGGGUGCCUCUGGAGGUGACUCUUCUCUCCCUCCUUGGUCACUACCACCCUGUGGAGCCAGCCUUCCUCCACCUACUGGGCAUGCCCCUUCCCACUCUACAGCAAAUAAGCCCAGGGACGGUUUGUAAUGGAGUCACCCUUGGCAAGAGGUGCUGGAAUCAUGGCUUACGUGGGGCAUCGUUUUCUCAGGACUCUGGAAGUCUCAAUUGUGUUAGGUUUGGCCAGAGGUCUUGUCUUAGGCUAGUUUCUCUAAAGUAGCAAAACCAGUGAAGUGUAUAUAUAUAUAUCUCAAGGAAAUGGCUCAUGUGGUUAUAGAGGCUGGCAAGUCCCAAGCCCGUGGGUCAGGCACCAGGCUGGAGGCUUUCUCCUGACUCACGCACGUAGCUGCAGGGGCUGACAAACCCAAGAUCAGCAGGUCGGAUGUUAGGCUGCUGGCUCACAGGCUAAGGAGGCUAAUGAAUACCAAGAUCAGUAGGCAAGCUGCUGGUUCAGGUCCCAAGAACUGGAGGUCAGACGAUGAUGAGCCAGAUAUAGAAUCUGAGUGAGCAAAAGCCAGUGAGCUUUGUCAGAACGUCCAUAUGGAUUGAUUGCAGGCCACACACACCCCUGAGGAAACUCCCCUUACAACUGAUUGGCUCAUUACAUCAGAUCAUGUCAUGGAGAUAAUUACAUUAUAUCACAAGAUGGAGGAUAAUUACAUCAUUACAUAAAAAAAAAAAAACUGCCAAGCCACUGAGAAUCAUAGCCCAGCCAAGUUGACACACAACCUUAACCUUCACAGACCCCCUGCCCUCUCCCUGCCUUCGGUGCCUUCUGUCCCCUCAUGUCAACUCCAGUGGGCUGUGGCACAGUUUCAGCUCCAAGGCUUGGAGUUGGAUCCCAAACAAACUGCCUUUCUUGGGGAGACAAACACCCCAGAAACCACUAGUCUUCCUCUCAGCUAAAUCGUGUUGCUCUUAGUGAUCUUAAUCUCUUUUGGCAGGCUCUGCUGGAAAAAGCGUCCAGGGAAACAGGAUCUUUCUGGGCAAAGCCAGGGCGGUCUCCCACCACUUGUUCCCAGCACGCUGUGCACUAUGCCCGGGAGCAGAAGCACCUCCUUGCUGCAGCUCCUAGCCCCAAAUCACAAGCUCACAAGUGCUCCACACUGCUCUCCCCACCUCCGUGCUGGGCUCUGGGUUCUCUGGCUUCAGAGGAGGGUCUCCCAGUUUACACCCCCUCAAUGUGUGAGGAAGAUGUGUGGGGAAGAGGGAAGAGCUGGGCUUUGAAAACAGGACCCAGGUUUGCAUUGCUGCUCUGCCAGCAGCUGCCAAGGCAGGGAAGGUCAUCGUGAAGCUGGCUGUGUGACCUCGGGCAAGCCUCUUCAGCAUCCUGGGUCUCAGUGUACUCAUCUCUAACAUGGGGCUAAUGACAGUGCUGUGUGUUCCCUCAGAGAGCUACAACGAGCACCAGGUAAGAGGGGGUUUGGGAAAGCACUCUAGGAAUUUUAGGUACUCAUACAAUUGCCCUAACUCACUGUGUGACCCGGGAAAGUCACUCCCCUCUCUGGGCCUUAGUUUCUUGACAUGUAAAAUGAAGGGGUGGAUGAUUGAUCUCAAGGAGGAUCUUUCCAGUGGACAAUGUGGUGUGGUGUGCUUUUUUUAAAUAUCAGCUCCAUUAAGGUAUAUGGACCCAUUUUAAGUGUACAGUUCAAUGAGUUUUUACAAAUGCAUGUAUCACAAUCAAGGCAGGGAACAUUUCUAUCUCCCCUGAAAGUUCUCUUGUGCCCUUUGCAGCCAAUGCCCCCUCCCUCAUCUCCAAAUGGCUUCCUGUUACUAUAACUAGAAUGUCAUCCUACAGAUAAACUCUUCUGUGGCUGGCUUCUCUCACCCAGCGUAAUGUCUGUGAGAUUCAUCUUUGUUGUUGUAUGUCUCAAUAGUUUUUUUUUUUUUUUUUUUAAUUGAUGAGGGAUAUUCCUUGGUAGGGAUAGACCACAAUGUGUUCACCCAUUCGCCUGGUAUUGGACAUUUGGGCUGUUCCCAGUAUUUGGCUGUUAAGACUAAAGCUGCUAUGAACAUCCCUGUACAGGUUUUUAGAUGAACAUAAGUUUUCAUUUCUCUUGGGUAAACAUCAGGGGGUGUGAUUGCUGAGUCAUAUGGUAAAUAUGUGUUUACGAGAAACUGCCAAACUGUUUUCCAAAGUGGCUGUACCAUUUUGCAUUCCCAUCAGCAGUGUACGAGAGUUUCAGUAGCUCCACAUCCUCAUCAUCACUUGAUAUUGUCUGUUUGGGCUCUAUCCUCCUACUGGUGUUCUUCCUCCCACUGGUCUCUGCCCCCAGCCAAUCCCUGACACCCAAAACCCACUGAUGCUUCUGAUCCUUCCAGGCUUUCCCACUCUUUCUUGCUCUGCCUCCCAGGCUGGCUUAAGCCAACAGAUGGGGUGGAGGUCUAGGGAAAAUAUAGAAACCUUCAUGCUCAAUUUGCUUUGGAAACCUGGCCUGAGAUGUAAUUUCAAAUGCAUUCUUUCAAUUCAACAAAGCAGGUAGAUUGGAGCCUUUUCAGAAUCUUUUCACCUCCCUCAGGUCUAAGAAUUUGAUUUUGCUCAUUUUAAUGGUUACUUUCUAUAUAUUCAGGUCUCUGCUGAAAUGUCAUCUUCUCGGAGAGGCCUUUGCUGACUACCAGGGACAGAGCCAGGCCAGGUACUUUCUACACAGGGUCGUAUUAAAGGCUCUCCAGCAGCCUUUGAGGCAGCCACCGUUUUUCUCAUUUUGUUGGAAACUGAGGCUCAGAGAGGUGAAGUCACUCAACCAAGUGUCACACUGAGGUUCUUGGGACGUAAGCCUGCAGAGGUUCCCAGCCUCCCAUCUGACCUGCAGAUUUUGGAUUCACCAGCCCCUGCAACCCUGUGAGCCAGAAGAGGCCUCCAGCCUACCACCUGACCCAUGGAUUGGGGACUUGCUAGCCUCCACAGUUGCAUGAGUCAUUUCCUCGAAGUAAAUCUCUCUCUAUAUAUUUAUAUAUGUGUUUCACUGGCUUUGCUUCUCUAGAGAACUCAGAACCUAGACUAAGACAGUCCCGAAGGGGAAGGGAAGGGAAACAUCUAUUAGGGCCAAGUAUUCAGAGUUGAGCUCCAGGUGGUCACAAGGCCUGGAGAAGAGAGAGAAGGGCGUCCUCUGACUGGUCAGAGGGAAGGGAGAAGGUAGCUCUGGUACCUCUACCCACCUUCCAAACAGGCUUGCCCAGGUCAAGGUGAACCAGGCCAGCCUGCAUUGGAACCAUGUUGAUCAUUAAACAAAAGCACAGGGACUGAUCCCCAGAGAGAGUGCGCUAGGAGGGGCUUCCAGGAUUUGAUUUGAGUUAAAGAGAAUAAGAAGAGUAUCUGGGAGCCCAGGAAUACCUCCUGCAUCAAAUGCCAGAAAUCCCAACAGUUCACACACACACACACACACACACACACACACACACACACAUACCCCGCACCGAGCUUGGGUGAGCGACUUAACCACUCUGUGCUCUGUUCCUUCCUGGAGACAUGGGCAUGAAACCACCCUGCUCACAGGCUGACCUGAGGAUUAAAUAAAAGUACUAAAUACCUGUGAAUUUCCUCUCUUCCCCCAGUUCUGUUAAAAGAUUCUGAAUUUCAGAUGUUUGGCUAAAGUCAGCAUGGUAACCCUUUCUCUUGUUACCUGGCCCGCCUCCCCUCCCCCACCAAGCAGGCUGAAUGAACUGGAGGGAUGGGUAAGGGGAGCUGCUCAGAAUACUUGCCUCUGCCCGAAGCUCUCCUUCAGGUGUCAUCACCACGGUUGUCUUCAUCUCAGCAUCAUCAUUAUAGUCACAGCAGCCUUUUAUUUAACACCUAUUAUGUGCCAGGGGGAAACCCUGGUGGCAUAGUGGUUAAAUGCUAUGGCUGCUAACCAAAAAAGGUCAGCAGUUCAAAUCCACCAGGGUGCUCCUUGGAAACCCUAUGGGGCAGUUCUACUCUGUCCUAUAGGGUCACUAGGAAGGGAUCCCUGGUCAGUGCAAACUGUUACAAUGCACUUGGCUGCUAACUGAAAGGUUGGAGUUUCAAAUCCACCCAGAGGCACCUUGUAAGAAAGGCUUGGGGGUCUACUUCUGACCAAUGGGCCGUUGAAAACCCUAUGGAGCACAGUCCAAAUCUGAUACCCAUGGGGCCACCAUGAGCGGGAACUGACUUGACAGCAAAGUUUUUUUAAAUUUAUGUAUCAGGCACUGCACAUCCGCCAUCUUUUGUCUUCGCCACAACUCCGCAGAGUAAAGUUUAUUAUUCUCAUUUUGUUGAUGGAGAAACUGAGGGCCCACAGGUAAUUAGCAGCACAGCGGAGAUAAGGAGCAUGAAUCUGGCUCCAUUCCCCAGCUCACUUCCCUUCUUUCCUGUCUUCCUCCCCACCUCUACUCCCAGCUCACAAUGCUACCAGCUUAACUUUUACAUCAUCUGGCAUUUAUUUACUAAGCACCUAUUUGGUAGGGUGGGACCCAGAGAGGGCCAGUCUCGUCCUUGCCUUCAAAGAGUUUGGAGAGUAGCUGGGGGAACGGAUGCGUAGUCAGGAAUCCUAAAAGCACAUGGCGAGUGCAGAAGAGCAGGAUGAAUGCAGUGUUAUGGGGGUCCCCACUACUGUCCUGGAGGCAGGGAGCUUCCCAGACGGCAACCUCACAGCCUGGAAGCGUGAGUGGUCGGUAUGAGAUUCGCAGCAUACUCUGAGUGCCGUGAGUGUGUGCUUGUGUACGUGUGCGUGCAUGUAUGUAAGGUGGAUGUGACAAAGAUCAAUGAGACGUAGUUGCCGCCUCCACCAGUUUAUGGCGUGGUUAGGCAGUGCCCGCAGGACCCCAUCCCAAAUCUCAAUGUCUGCAUCUUUAAAAUGAGAGCAAGUAGCCCUGGUGGUACAACAGUUAAGUGCUCAGUUGCUAACCAAAAUGUUGGCAGCUCCAACUCACCUAGAGGUUCUGCAAGAGAAAGACCUGACAAUCUGCUUCCAAAAGACUCACAGCGUUGGAAGCCUUAUGGGGCAGUUCUACUACAUCCUAUAAGGUCACUGUGAGUUAGAAUUGACUUGAUGGCACCCAGCAACGUGUACUCUGAACCCAGCUUCAAUAGUUACCAACAUUCUUCUAUUCUUGAAGAAUUCUUGAUGAGUUCAAUAAAUUAGAUAUUUUACAAAACAUGUAAUCUUAUUCAUUUUAAUGCCUAUUGGUGUUUUUCUCUGACAAAAGAAGUGAGAAGGAGAUUUAAAAAUAUUUACUGUGUUGGUUGAAGAAGCUAGUGAAAACACCCACCUAUUAUCUUUCCAUGUAAAUUUAAGCUGCAUGGAAAAAGCAUUCAGAUUCUCAGGUGCCGGGGAGUUUGGGCAGGGAAGCACCCCACUAGUCCAUCUUUUGCAGUCUUCAUGUUCUGUAAUUCUCUGAUCUGUAGAGAAAAAGCCCAUUUAGGACGUUUCUACCCUAGUUUUAAAUGCAGUGGCAAAGAUUCAGGAAUGUGUUUGUUUGGAGUUCCUGGGCCUUGGAGAUUUACAUUGGAAACAAGGCCUCAUUGUCUCCAUAUUCUUACUCCCAGGAUGUGUUUUAAUGAAAUAGCCUCAAAUCCAAAUUGGCUUCAGCCUAACUCAUAAGCAGCUGUGCCUCACGGUAGGGAGGCGGGGAAAUCCAAAUUGGGGCAGAAAGUCUGGAUUUGAGCCUCAGCUCUGCACCAAUGGGCUGUGUGGUCUUGAGAAGGUCACUCUCUGUCUCUGAACUUCCACACCCUAUCUGUAAGUGGGCUUUCAACUGGAUUAUCUCUGUGGACUCUUCCACCUCUGAGUGACGAUGGUCCAUGGACAAGUACAAGGAAGAGAAUGUUACACACCCUAUGUGACGCAGUAGGAAUCCCUGGGUGGUGCACAUGGUUAAGGGCUUGGUUAGUAGUGAUUUGAAUCCACCCAGAGGCUCCUUGGGAGAAAGGCCUGGUGAUCUCAGCCAUUGAAAACCCUACGGAGAACAAUUCUACUCUGAGUCCACAUGGGGUUGCCGUGAGUUGGAAUGGACUCGAUGGCAACCGGUUUGAUUUUUGUUUUGACAAUGUGGUAAAUGGGUGCACUUACUCACAUAUUCUUUUUUUGAAAUUGUGCUUUAGAUGAAGGUUUACAGAGCACAUUAUUUUCUUAUUAAACGAUUAAUACCCAUACUGUUUCUAGACAUUGCUUGCCGACCCUAUGACGUGUCAACACUCUCCCCUUCUCAACCUUGGGUUCCCCAUUACCAGCUUUCCUGUCCCCUCCUACCUUCCUGUCCUUGCUCCUGGGCUGGUGUGCCCAUUUAGUCUCAUUUUGUUUUAUGGGCUUAUCGGCUGAAGAGUGAACCUCAGGAGUGACUUCAGUACUGAGUUAAAAGGGCAUCCAGGGGUUGUUCAUGUAUUCUUCAGGAAAUGAUACUUUAGAGGGUUUGAGGCGUACUUUGGAGAGGUCAACGUUUUUCUCUAAUUGUGUGGAUGCUGUGUAGUCAACAAGAACAACCCACAUAUCAGCUGGGGUCACUUCAGAUCUAGAUACGAGUGGCCUGAGCCCCCAUUCCAAGCCACAGGGACUCCCAAACCCCCUCUGCCCCUGCGAAGAUUUCUGCAGCCCCCUGAGGAACCCCAUGCUCUCAAGACGCAGAUCUCAGAACACUCUUCUUCGCUCCACAGUAACCCAGAGCUGAAAUCAUCACACCUUUCUUGUCCUGCACUCAAAAGACCCACUCACAUGAAGAUGUGUAAGCAUGGUGGACCCUCCCAACCAUUUGGGGCGAGGGGUCACACUAAGCAUCACCUGACGAGUGAUUAGACCCACAUAGUGGUCUUGCUUGCUUUAACACGUUGACUCUGCUCCUUGCCCCACACACUGCCUAACCUUCCACCACCGUACUGGUUUCUAUCUCUCCUCAUCUCCAUGGCUGGUGCCCACCCCCACCCACCUCGAAUGUCCACAUUCUUUUCCUGUUUGCAGAGCAGUUCAGUGCUCUGCUGCUGCAGCCUGCACACGCACACACAAACCUGUCACUGUGCUUGCCAGGCAAAGGCUUUCUCUUAAUAGGAUCAACUUUCUAUAGGAAAGAGUUGUUUGUUAUAAAGAUUUUUUUUUUUUUUUUUAAAGUUGUACAAGGAUAUAGGCCUGAAGUCACUUGGGUAAGGUCCAGGGGUGAGGAUGAUACUUCUAAUUCGUUGUCUGCAAGGCUGGCCUUGUGCUGGCUUUCACACAGACCCGCCCGAUGAGAGCGUUCUGUAGCAAGUGACAUCCCUCUUCCCUCCUUGGUCAGCAGGGUGACCUUGCUCUCUUGGUUCUCCUCCUCCCUCUGUGAUGGCACCUUCUUUGCAUCCUCAGAUGAUUCUCUUUGAACCUCUGGGACAUCACUGUGGGAAAGUGAUGGAGGACAUGGGAGCUUGGCUCUGAGCUUCCGCCUAAUUGGCCUUUCCAGGUUGGAGCUGGAGAACCUGGGUGCGGCAAGCAGUUAACACACUUGGCUGCUAACGGGAAGACCGGAGGUUCGAGUCCUCCCAGGGUUGCCUUGAAUAAAGGCCAGAUGAUCUACUUCUGAAAAAUCAGCCCUUGAAACCUGUGGGUUGCAGCUCUGCUCUGACACACACGGGGUCACCGUGAGUCAGAGUCGGCUUGACGGCAACUGCUGAGGCGAAGCCUGCUGGGUUUCUCCCCAGAAGCUCUCAUGUGAUGACCCCCACCAGUCUGGUCUCCUGCAUCUUUGAGCACAUUUGGUGAAGUGCAGGGAUGUGGAGGAAAGAAAUAGGGAGACAGCUAUGGAAAGUGAUGCAGUCGUUAAGGCGGGAAGCAGCAGCAGUAUCUAGGUGAGAGAACCAGCCUCUCACCCACAUCCAUGCAUCCAGAGCACAGCAGCUGAUGGGAAAGCUGAAGGAGAUCAGUGCCAUGGGCAGCUCAGGGUGGGCUUCGGCUGAAGGAAGUGAUGUUUCUCCAGAGAAGAGGAACUGUGAGGCGGGGCUGGUCAUAGGAGGAAGCAAAACAAGGGCAGCUCCCCCUUAUUGGGGAGCGGGAUAGUGGGGGUGUGGGUGGGUGUGGGGUAGUUUGCAAAUUCUUCACGGAAGAGUUGAUUUUUUUUAUUGUACUUUAGAUGAAGGUUUACACAGCAAACUAGUUUCUUAUUAAACAAUACCCAUUUUUUUUUUUUUUGUGAUAUUGGUUGCCAUCCCCACAUGCCAACACUUACUCUUCUCGACCUUGGGUUCCCCAUUACCAGCUGUCCUGUUUCCUCCUGCUUUCUAGUCCUUGCCCCUGGGCUGAUGUGCCCAUUUAGUCUCGUUUUGUUUUAUGGGCCUGUCUAAUCUUUGGCUGAAGGGUGAACCUCAGGAGUGACUUUAUUACUGAGCUAAAAGGGUGUCCAGGGGCCAUACUCUUGGGGUUUCUCUAGUUUCUGUCAGGCCAGUAAAUCUGGUCUUUUUUUGUGAGUUAGAAUUUUGUUCUACAUUUUUCUCCAGCUCUGUCCAGGACCCUCUGUUUUGAUCCCUGAGGAGAUGAUCUUUGAGCUGAGCCUUGAAAGGCUGGUAUGGACCUUUGCCAGGCUGAUCCACUUUGCUGAGGUGCGUGUGGGAGGGGGUCGAGAAGAUGAAAGGGUCACUCCAGGCCAAGGGAGCAAGCAUGUGAGAGAGGCAUGAAGGCAGAACAGCUGGUAAGUCUGGGGACCACCAACAGCCCACAAGGCUGGGUGGAAGUGUUGGCGGGGUGAAUCAUGAGGGUUGGGUAAGACACUGGGGCUUCGUCUUGCCAGCAACGAGAGUCAGUGGAGGUUUUAAGGAGCCAAGAGACAAGGUCAGAUUUGUACCUUAGAUAGAAGCCUCCAGCUGCUGGGUGGCUCUCAGGGUCAGUGUGGAGCACGGAGCCUGGUUAGGUGUCUGUUGCAUCGUCCAACACAAAUGAUAAGAGAAAUGGCGGGGAGACGGAGGGGAGCAAAUGGAUUCUAGAAUUGUCAAGGUUGAAUCUCUAAAGCUCAAUGACUAACUUUGAGAGGCAUUGUGCCGACACCUGGUUCCCUGUAACUGCUGCGUGCUGUUCCCGUGGAUGAAGAGACCACACUCCACUUCUUCAUUCUAAUGGUGACUGUCUUAGGCUGCUGGGUUCCAACCACCGACAUUUUGGUUAGCAGCUGAGCAAUUAACCAUUGCACCACCAGGGCUCCUUAACUGAUAUAUAUUCUUUCUUUGUAUUCCAUGUAAUUAUAUCCAUUUCUUUUAAUUAUGAAAUGAAUCAUAUAUAUAAAAGAGUAUAUAUAAAGUAUGUGGAUGCUUUAUUUAUUAAAAAGAAAAUGAUCACUUACCCACAACUGAAUUUCAGAAAUUGAGCCCCAGUACCUGGGAAACAAGGACAGAUUAUCCAAUUGGCAAGGUAGGCCCGGUGCUUACCUUGCUUACCUGAUCAUCUGUGGUGAACAAUUUCACAUUUUUUCAGCACAUCAGAGAUUCUGCUUCCAGGUAUAGCUGGCAUCUGUCUCUCUCCCAACCCCACAGCACCUUCCUACUGAAUCAAAGCCUCUUUUCAAAUUUACAGUCCCUGACAGGGACGGAUGACCCAGUUAGCAAGGUAAGCAUGGGCUUAUUUGUGCUAAUUUACUAAUCUGAAGUAAACAAUUUCACAUGGGUUUCACCAGGGCUCCUUAAAUGAUGUAUUAAAAAAAAAAAAAAAAACCAAACCCAUCGCCAUCAAGUCAAUUCCGACUCAUAGCAACGCUAUAGGACAGAGUAGAACUGCCCCACAGGGUUUCCAAGAAGUGUCUGGUGGAUUUGAACUGCCGACCUUUUGGUUAGCAGCCAUAGCUCUUAAACACUGUGCCACCAGGUUUCCUAAACGAUACAAGGUUAGUGCUUAAUAGAUGUUAGGUGUUGUCGUUGCUGUCAUAUUCAUCCAGAGACUUGCGUGGGCUGUGGGGCCAUGUCUCUGACCUCACAUAGGGAGGGAUAGGGCCCAGCAGGCUGCUCCUCUGACCCCUACUCUAGAGGAGUGGCUGACCCUCCCCUGUCCCUACCUCCCAUCCCCAGAAGGGCAGGCUUGGUGGGUAAUGGACCACAAGCUCCUUCUAGUCUCUAACCCUUGGAGCAAUGAGAGGGUAUGGGAUGGAGACCCUGGUGAGCCAUUGUGUUACAAGUGGGGUAGAAGGGCUUGGCAGUGCAAACUCUUAACUUGCAAGAAAACUUUUAGAUAUUUUUUUCUUGCCGUUGUUAGCUUCUGUCGAAUCAGCCCCUGACCCAUGGCGAUCCUAACUCAUGGCUGAGUUUUUGGAAGGAAACACUACCCAGUCCUGCGCCAUCCCCAUGAUCAGUUGCAAUUUGGGCCGUUGUGAUCCACAGGGUUUUCAUUGGCUGAUUUUUCAGAAAUAGAUUACCAGGCCUUUUUUCAUAGUCAGUCUUAGCCUGGAAGCUGUGCUGGAAUCUGUUCAGCAUCAUAGCAAGUGACAGACAGGUGGUAGCUGCUCAUGAGGUGCCUUGGUUGGGAAUCGAACCUGUGUCUUCCACAUGGAAGGCGAGAAUUCUACCACUGAACCCUUUCAGAGAUCCCCAAAAUGACAUUUAUACUCUUUUCCCCUAUUAUGGAAAUCCUACAUAUUAUUGGUAGAAAACUUAAAAGUAUAGGAAGAAAAAAAAAAAAAACAGUUCCUUUUGAGUAACGGUUGUUAACAUUGGUAUAAUUUUUCUUUUUGAUGUACAAAUUGGAAUCAUAGUAUAUGUUCUGUUUUGGAACUUUUUUCUUUGACUUAACAAUAUGCCAACAAUACCUCUCAGUGUCAUUAAAGGUCCUACAAGGUGAUUUUUAAUGAUUGCAUGUAAUUCAUCAUUUGAAUGCACUGUGACCUGAAAUAAUUGUUGAUCUCUCUCUCUUUUUAAAACUUUUAAACACAAUGUAGUGAUGGGCACUCUUGUCCAUAAAUCUUUGCAUAUAUUCAUAAUUGUUUCCUUAGUAGAAAUACCUAAAAGUGGAAUUGUUGGGGAUAGUAACUUUUGAAAAGAGGUCUUCCUAUCAAACAAGUUUCGUUUAUUAAAUGAUAGUUAAUUAGAGUGCACAUCAGUAUUAAUCAGUAUUACACCUGUAAUUCCCAAAUACCUGUAAUUCUCAAACAUCUGCAAUUCCCAAACUGAGAUUCUGGCCAACAUGAGAAAAUGGGUACUACCUUCCACUGAAAUAAUAUUCUAGCCCAGAGCAAAUUGGCCCUUGAAUUUACCUGGGGAAAUACUUUCCAGCAGACUUCUGGAAAUCUUGGUAAUAGCCUCAAGGUCCCAGGGCCACGUUUUGUGGGUCCCUGGCAGUAUGGGAUUCCAUGUUGGAAGCCUUAGCUAAGAUGGCCCCUGACCCCCUUUUCCCAUAAACACAAGAUGGGGGUGUCCUGCAUAUUGGUGUGCAGGGUCUGUGCCUGGAGCCAGGAAAGGGAAAUUGUUCUACGAGAAUUCCGUAAGAGGUCAGUGGGUUACCAGGAAUCCUCAUCUGGCAGGUGAGGCUCAGGGCUCUGCUCCAGGUAGUAGGAAUCACCGCCCAUCUCUGACACCUGUGUGGGCUUCCUGCCUCGUUGCAGUAACCCCAGACCAUCCUAUUUAAUCCUCAUGGUCUGAGAUGCUGGCAAGACAGAUUGUAUUAUUCCAUUGUACAGAUGAGGAGACCUUGAACCAGAGGUCAAGCGACUUCCUCGAGGUCACACAGAGGAGCCAAGUCAGAGAUACUUUGGGACUGCUCUUCCCACUGUCCCACAAUGCCCUAAGGGCCAGAUGGCUGCCAAGUCCUGGACCAGGCUUGGGCAGCAAACCUCAAGUUCCUGAAGCUGGGAAAGUUGGGGCGAAGGGAGGGGUGAAUGUACCCUGCAAUCCUUUAGAAGAAGGGGCCUGAGUCCUCAGACACUUUGCUCAGUAACCUGGGGAUAGACCCAGCUGGUGUUUUGGGGGACAUUGUCCUAAGACAAGGCCAGAUGAAAAGUUACUUACUGUGUGGUCUUGGACAAGGCCUCCAGCCUCCUCUGCUGGGAAGUGGGUACUUGGAUUAGCAGUCUCUGGGAGUUCUCUCUAGGACUGAAAGCUCUCGUACUCCAUGCCGCUCACAGUGCCUACGUGGAGGAACCUCCGGGGCCCCUGUAGCAUCUAGCAUUACCUCUCCGUGGUGAGGGCUUUCAUUUCAAGGACGAAGCCUUUGCUCUUCCUUGCUCUCCAUGUCCCAGGCUGGUGAUGCUAUCUUUUGCUGCCCACCUGGCCUUCCAGCUCCUUAUUUCCUUCCCUAGCCCAUUGGCAAAGGUCUAGCACAAGCAGAUUCCUGCCAGUGGGACCUGUCGGGGUCAGAACUUGCUUCUUCCUCUGCCCAUUCCCCAGGGGAAAAGGUGGGGGCUGGGGAGUACGGGCCCCCAGGGGGUCUCCUGGUAAACAGACAAGGAAGAGCCAGUCCCCAGUCCUGCCCCCAGCACUAGGCAACUCCAGGGGUACCCUUCACCAGACCAUGGCCUGAAUAACACCACUCAGAGUUGUGCAACAUGGCAGCUUUCUUCCUCUUGACCCUGAAAUGAAGCCUCCUGUGACUUAGCUUAAAAUAAUAGAUGCAGUUUCCCUCUCUGUUUCUUUAAGUGGAAUGAGAGAGAGUGAACAACUAGAAACCAUCCAAUCUCCACUGCCUGCCAGUGCCUUUUGCUGUAGUCCGGGACGGUGGGGGGCGGGGGUGAUUCAAAAGAAGGAAAGCCAUGGGAACUUUUGUUCUAACCAAGCCUUAGCUGGAACAGAACAUGGAUUGACCCCUGGGGUCCUCUCCAUAAGCCUCACAGCCCCAAGAAAAUAGUUUGAAAGCUACUGCCACAGCCCAGCAGGCUCCAUGCACCCUCCCUACCUCUUCAUGGCCUCACUAGGGGAAUCCCCUAAGUACUGCUACCCUUCCGUCCUACAGCUGGUAAGUCAAGGAAUGGGUCUUGGCUAGCUCGCUUUUGGUUGCCAGUGACAGAAACCUAUUGAAACUGGCUAAAGCAAAAGGGCGAGUUUAUUGGAAGAAUGGAGGGAUGGGUCAUGGAACACAAAGGCAGGACAACUUCACAAGGGCCCUGAAGCUGGUAGGAAACCAGGUAGCCUCUCUUGUCUCUUUCUGUCUCUUUCUUUGUCUCUCUCUGGCUCUGACACUAUCUCACUCUCACAUUUGAAUCAUCUGAGUCCACCUGUAUGAGUGGCAUCGAUGUUGUUGUUGUUAAAUGCCAUCAAGGCAGUUCCAACUCAUAGCAACCCUACGUACAACAGAAUGAAACACUGCCUGGUUCUGCACCAUCCUCACAAUUGUUGCUGUGCUUGUGUCCAUUGUUGCAGCCACUGUAUCAAUCCAUCUUGUUGAGGGUCUUCCUCUUUUUCGAUGACCCUCUACUUUACCAAGCAUGAUGUCCUUCUCUGGGGACUGGUCCCUCCUGAUAACAUGUCCGAAGUACAGGAGAUGAAGUCUCGCCAUCUUUGCUUCUAAUGAACAUUCUGGCUGCACUUCUCCCGAGACAGAUUUGUUCAUUUCUCUGGCAGUCCAUGGUAUAUUCAAUGUUCUUCAUCAACACCAUAAUUCAAAGGAAUCAAUUCUUCUUCAGUUUUCCUUAUUCACUGUCCAGCUUUCACAUGCAUA